GACGAACGCUGGCGGCGUGCUUAACACAUGCAAGUCGAACGGUAAGGCCCUUCGGGGUACACGAGUGGCGAACGGGUGAGUAACACGUGGGUGAUCUGCCCUGCACUUCGGGAUAAGCCUGGGAAACUGGGUCUAAUACCGGAUAGGACCAUGGACUUCACGGUUUGUGGUGGAAAGCUUUUGCGGUGUGGGAUGGGCCCGCGGCCUAUCAGCUCGUUGGUGGGGUAAUGGCCUACCAAGGCGACGACGGGGUAGCCGGCCUGAGAGGGUGUCCGGCCACACUGGGACUGAGAUACGGCCCAGACUCCUACGGGAGGCAGCAGUGGGAAUAUUGCACAAAUGGGCGCAAGCCUGAUGCAGCGACGCCGCGUGAGGGAUGACGGCCUCGGUUGUAACC
rnacentral:rRNA from 1 species